rnacentral:lncRNA from 1 species
CGUUUUUUAUUAUAUUUUUAUACGGGAUUCGUUUUGUUUUUAAUUUGUUAGAGGUCGUACAGCGACGCAGCUGUUUACACCAUUGUCUCUUGGUUUUAGGUAAAUAGUUGUUUCUUAGGCAAUUUCAUGUAUAUCACAUUUCUUUUUUAUGUUUACUGCAAUUUGCUUUGACCUGGAUUGUUUAAAUGUGUAGGGUAUGAAUAAAUACAUGAUAAGGUUUUAUUAAUAUUCAUAUUUAUUUGGAAAUAAACUUGGGGUUCGCGUUGCUUAUUCUUUAGUUUUUUAUGUUGUGUCAUGUGUACUUUUGUCUUUUUCAUUUUUAGUCAUGGCUUUGUCAGU